GGUGUGAAUUGCAGAAUCCCGUGAACCAUCGAGUUUUUGAACGCAAGUUGCGCCCGAGGCCUUGUGGCCGAGGGCACGUCUGCCUGGGCGUCACG
rnacentral:rRNA from 1 species